AAAUUUCAUCCUGCUGUUUCUUCUUUGGGGAUAAAAUUUGUUGAGUAUCUCACAGUGAUUGACUGUCAGCUAGUCAGCUUUUCUCCAGUUGAGUGAUGGACUGUAGCUUGAAGGUUAUAGUGGAAUAGCUUUUGGGAAAGAGGAGCCUUGUGUUGUUUACAUAUUCCCCUUUCAACGCAUUGCAUUGAACAUAUAUAGUUCUUUAAGUUCAUGAAGGACGGUAGAAAUAUACUGAAAUAUUGUUUUGAGUUGAUGUUUCCUUAAAGUGUUCCUCUCACUUGAUUUGUUGAAAUAGCUUGCUAGAGACAUAAGAAACUUGCUUCAUUGCUUGUAAUUGAAUGAACUUGUGACUGCAUUUUCAAUCUGAAAUUUUCUCAACUGGUAAAUGCAGAACUUUGAGUGAGGUCCAAGGCUCUUCAAGCUGUUUACAAUCAGACUCUUGUGACGAUAGUGGUGGAGUAUGCAUCUGUAGUUUACAUGUCAGAUUUGACACAACUUUUUAGUUGGACAUGUCCUAGUUGUGAUGGAAAGACCAAGGGGUUCUAAGUCAUUGAUCUGAUAGUUUGACGUCCAGCACUGCUUAUAGGCAUAUAUUGGGGUGGCCAGGACCUUAAUGCUGCAGUUAUAGCUUUCAAAGGUACUCAAGAACAUAGGUUCAUCAUGGAUUUAUCAUGCUUGUCACAAUACAACAAUGCGACCUGGUACUUUGGAUGCUGUUAGAAGAGCCAAGGAUUUGAUAUCGACGUCAUGGCGACAGGGCAUUCUAUGGGAGGGCCUAUGGCAUCCUUUUGCGGACUUGAUAUUG